AGUGAACGCUGGCGGUAGGCCUAACACAUGCCAGUCGGACGGCAGCACAGUAAGAGCUUGCUCUUACGGGUGGCGAGUGGCGGACGGGUGAGGAAUACAUCGGAAUCUACUUUUUCGUGGGGGAUAACGUAGGGAAACUUACGCUAAUACCGCAUACGACCUACGGGUGAAAGCAGGGGAUCUUCGGACCUUGCGCGAUUGAAUGAGCCGAUGUCGGAUUAGCUAGCUGGCGGGGUAAAGGCCCACCAAGGCGACGAUCCGUAGCUGGUCUGAGAGGAUGAUCAGCCACACUGGAACUGAGACACGGUCCAGACUCCUACGGGAGGCAGCAGUGGGGAAUAUUGGACAAUGGGCGCAAGCCUGAUCCAGCCAUACCGCGUGGGUGAAGAAGGCCUUCGGGUUGUAAAGCCCUUUUGUUGGGAAAGAAAAGCAGCAGGUUAAUACCCCGCUGUUCUGACGGUACCCAAAGAAUAAGCACCGGCUAACUUCGUG
rnacentral:rRNA from 1 species